UUUAUGGAGAGUUUGAUCCUGGCUCAGGAUGAACGCUGGCGGCGUGCCUAAUACAUGCAAGUCGAGCGAACGGACGAGAAGCUUGCUUCUCUGAUGUUAGCGGCGGACGGGUGAGUAACACGUGGAUAACCUACCUAUAAGACUGGGAUAACUCCGGGAAACCGGAGCUAAUACCGGAUAAUAUUUUGAACCGCAUGGUUCAAAAGUGAAAGACGGUCUUGCUGUCACUUAUAGAUGGAUCCGCGCUGCAUUAGCUAGUUGGUAAGGUAACGGCUUACCAAGGCAACGAUGCAUAGCCGACCUGAGAGGGUGAUCGGCCACACUGGAACUGAGACACGGUCCAGACUCCUACGGGAGGCAGCAGUAGGGAAUCUUCCGCAAUGGGCGAAAGCCUGACGGAGCAACGCCGCGUGAGUGAUGAAGGUCUUCGGAUCGUAAAACUCUGUUAUUAGGGAAGAACAUAUGUGUAAGUAACUGUGCACAUCUUGACGGUACCUAAUCAGAAAGCCACGGCUAACUACGUGCCAGCAGCCGCGGUAAUACGUAGGUGGCAAGCGUUAUCCGGAAUUAUUGGGCGUAAAGCGCGCGUAGGCGGUUUUUUAAGUCUGAUGUGAAAGCCCACGGCUCAACCGUGGAGGGUCAUUGGAAACUGGAAAACUUGAGUGCAGAAGAGGAAAGUGGAAUUCCAUGUGUAGCGGUGAAAUGCGCAGAGAUAUGGAGGAACACCAGUGGCGAAGGCGACUUUCUGGUCUGUAACUGACGCUGAUGUGCGAAAGCGUGGGGAUCAAACAGGAUUAGAUACCCUGGUAGUCCACGCCGUAAACGAUGAGUGCUAAGUGUUAGGGGGUUUCCGCCCCUUAGUGCUGCAGCUAACGCAUUAAGCACUCCGCCUGGGGAGUACGACCGCAAGGUUGAAACUCAAAGGAAUUGACGGGGACCCGCACAAGCGGUGGAGCAUGUGGUUUAAUUCGAAGCAACGCGAAGAACCUUACCAAAUCUUGACAUCCUUUGACAACUCUAGAGAUAGAGCUUUCCCCUUCGGGGGACAAAGUGACAGGUGGUGCAUGGUUGUCGUCAGCUCGUGUCGUGAGAUGUUGGGUUAAGUCCCGCAACGAGCGCAACCCUUAAGCUUAGUUGCCAUCAUUAAGUUGGGCACUCUAAGUUGACUGCCGGUGACAAACCGGAGGAAGGUGGGGAUGACGUCAAAUCAUCAUGCCCCUUAUGAUUUGGGCUACACACGUGCUACAAUGGACAAUACAAAGGGCAGCGAAACCGCGAGGUCAAGCAAAUCCCAUAAAGUUGUUCUCAGUUCGGAUUGUAGUCUGCAACUCGACUACAUGAAGCUGGAAUCGCUAGUAAUCGUAGAUCAGCAUGCUACGGUGAAUACGUUCCCGGGUCUUGUACACACCGCCCGUCACACCACGAGAGUUUGUAACACCCGAAGCCGGUGGAGUAACCUUUUAGGAGCUAGCCGUCGAAGGUGGGACAAAUGAUUGGGGUGAAGUCGUAACAAGGUAGCCGUAUCGGAAGGUGCGGCUGGAUCACCUCCUUU
rnacentral:rRNA from 1 species